rnacentral:rRNA from 1 species
GAUGAACGCUGGCGGCGUGCCUAAUACAUGCAAGUCGAGCGAACGGACGAGAAGCUUGCUUCUCUGAUGUUAGCGGCGGACGGGUGAGUAACACGUGGAUAACCUACCUAUAAGACUGGGAUAACUUCGGGAAACCGGAGCUAAUACCGGAUAAUAUUUUGAACCGCAUGGUUCAAAAGUGAAAGACGGUCUUGCUGUCACUUCUAGAUGGAUCCGCGCUGCAUUAGCUAGUUGGUAAGGUAACGGCUUACCAAGGCAACGAUGCAUAGCCGACCUGAGAGGGUGAGCGGCCACACUGGAACUGAGGCACGGUCCAGACUCCUACGGGAGGCAGCAGUAGGGAAUCUUCCGCAAUGGGCGAAAGCCUGACGGAGCAACGCCGCGUGAGUGAUGAAGGUCUUCGGAUCGUAAAACUCUGUUAUUAGGGAAGAACAUAUGUGUAAGUAACUGUGCACAUCUUGACGGUACCUAAUCAGAAAGCCACGGCUAACUACGUG